GUGUCCGCACGCCCCGGGAGCUGAGUCUGUCUGUCCCCACACCCCGGGGAAAGGAAGCAUGCCCCGGGCCGCGCUGGGGCUCCUUCGGCGGCUCCCGCCGCCCCUCCGGGGAAUGUCCCUGGCGCAGCCCCCACUCCCUGUCCGCCGUCGCUGCCCGCAGUGUUUUCCUGCCGGGCUUGAGCGGCGGGAGGAGGGUUUCGCUGAUAGGCUGCGCCCGCCGUCAAACACUGCUGCCGCCCUCUCCGCGCCGCCCGCGGAGGAGCAGCCGCGGCUUCCGCUCGGCGCUCGGCUCCCUGCCUGCUUCCGUGCUUGUCUCUGGCAUCCAGGUUGCUUGAACGAUAGAGUCAGUCCUGGAUGUUUGCAGCCUUUUGCUUCAGCUGGCAGAGAAGAAAAAAGGUGGACACAGACUUGCAGCAGUUGCUUCCUGUGAAAGGGAGGAAAUAUCGGAUACUAUUCUGGGAUAAUUUGUGCGUGCUUUGUCCUGAAAAGGCCUCUGAAACAAGCAGUAGACAUCGGGGAAGAGAAUUGAGGAAAUAGUGAGGUCUUUUUCUUCUAGCAGUGUUGAGCACAUCACCCUUGGAUCUUUUGUCCGCAUGGAAUGGAUACAUAGCUAAAUUUAUGAAGUUCUGAAUACUUCAGCUGCCAAAAUAAAGCGCUUUCCUCUUUUUACAUACUCUUUUUCUUCUCUGCAACAUCCUUUCUGAGUCAGAGGUUUAACCAGCUUUGUUAACUGGUUCCAGGUUAAAUGUGGCCUGAGUCACUGUGGGGACAUUGCUGAAAAGUUUCAUGGCAGAUUUUUUCCCCUCAUUUUUUCAUUUUUUAGAUUUUCUGACAUAGUCUUCUCUCAUUUUGCAGUGAGACCGAUUUUAUAAAUGAAGAUUUUAGUAGAUGUUUGUUUAUACUUUUUUCUUUUGUAUUUUAUUUACUGUUUUUGUUGAAAAAUGUUGUUGCCCAUAAGCAGUAUGGAGGUAUCCAGAUAACUGUUUAUAAAUGCCUCUGCUGCCGGAAGGUAGGAAAUGCUCUUCAGUUCAUAUGUGAAAUUUGGGUUUUUGACAUCAUAGUUUGUGGAGUAAAACCUGUGUUUAUUUCACUUGGAGCUGAUGCUGCAUAUACUGAUAUCUACAUGGAAUAGACAAGAGAAGAAACUGUCAGAGAAAAUAAAAGGUUUUUAAGACAGACAUUGGCUGACUUUGUAAAUAGCCUUGCAGAAUCUGUAAGCGAGAAGGAUGGGUAGCUGAUUUCUGUGAGGUCAGAUCUAUGUCCAGCUGCCACGAAUGUAGUACCAACAGGAACUCGGGGUAUUAUCUCAAGGAAAACAAACUGGAAAAAUAUAAAUCACGCUGUACUAGCACCUUGUGCGGUCCUCUUGGAUUAGGUUUGCAUUCAACAGAACUGCUGCUGCCUGAAACAAAAAUUAAGAUGGACAGAGCUACUUAAUUCAAAAGUCAAAUUGUGCAGCUCUGCUUCAGUAGCUGAGAGUCUGAGCCAAGUCAGCUUUUGCCACAGUUCAGUUGAAGAAUGGCAGAUCUGUGCUAAUAGGGAAUGGUGGCUUAAAAAUUCAUGAUAAAUUUUGGGCCUGCUCUUUUGUUACUAGGGCAAACUUGUUGGCAACAUCAGAGAGCUAGCAGCUGUAAGAAUGUUUAUGAAACCUGAUAAAAUAUGGAACCAGUAACUUUAAGCUGGGGACUUGCCAUGAGGUGCUAAGCCUUUUUUCAUUGAUUCGGAGAGACUGGACCUAAAUGGCGCAGCAUGACUUUGCUCCAGCCUGGCUUAAUUUUCCUACUCCACCAUCAUCAACAAAGGUCACUUUGCAGUCAUCACUGAAUUUUGAGAAACAUUCUGAAAAUUUUUCAUGGACAGAGAAUCGUUAUGAAGCAAAUCGCAGAAGACACAAUUCUUCGGAAGGGUUGGAUCCUAACACUGGAAGGCCAAAUGGAGGGCAUUUUGGGCGAAAAGAGAGGAAUGGUUGGCGUUCACAAGGCAGAAAUGGUCCAGAAAAUAUAAACCAGCGUGGAGGGUACCAUGGUGGAGGUUCCCGUACUCGUAGCAGCACCUUCCAUUGUGGAAAAGGCCAGGGACUGCAUGAAAACAGUGUACUUGAUAAUGAAACCCACAAAAAGGAAGACAAAGAAGUACCCAACCAGUUUGAGGCUGAGGACUUUCCAUCUUUAAACCCUGAAUAUGAGAGGGAACCAAACCAGAAUAAAUCUCUAGCUGCAGGUGUGUGGGAGUACCCUUUAAAUCCUAAAUCUAGAUCUCAGAGAAUGCUGGUCAUUAAAAAAGGCAGUACAAAAGAGCUGCGGAUAUCUGGAUUCCCAGUAGUGGGAAGUGUUCACUCACAGCCAGUAAGGAAUGGAACUGGCACAAGUGUUUUUAAAGGAUUAGUCCCCAAACCUGUCACUCCAUCUGCAAAGCCCACACAGUGGAAAAGCCAAUCAAAAGAAAACAAACUUGGGAAUGCAUUUCCUCAUGAAUCUGCAUAUGGUGUUGGUAGUUUCAGUCCUUUCAAAUCAACUGUCAAGGCAUUUGCUGUAACACAAAAUUCAGUGAAAGAGUGUAAUCGGUCAAAUUCUUCAUCCCCUGUUGACAAAUCUGGUCAGCUUCGUUUAACAAAAUUGACAAGAAUGCGGACUGAUAAGAAAAGUGAAUUUUUGAAAACAUUGAGAAGAGAUAGAGUGAAAGAGGAACAUGAAGAUGAGAAUCGUGAUGGGCAAGAGAAGGAUGAUGAGUCCUUCUGCUUGCAUAACAGCAACAGUCCUCAUUGUGAGAGAGAUAUAAACCGCAACUUUGAAAAUGAGAUUCUGCAGGAGAAUGGCAAUGCUUCAAUUACACCUCAGCAGAUCAUUCAGACUUCAGCUUUCCCACAGGCAAACGUUCUUUCAAGCUCACUUGAGGCAGAGCAUAGGUUGUUAAAGGAGAUGGGGUGGCAGGAAGACAGUGAAAAUGAUGAAACAUGUGCUCCACUAACUGAGGAUGAGAUGAGGGAGUUUCAAGUCAUUAGUGAAAAGAAUCAGCUGUUUCCUUUCUUCAGUGUCUUUGACUUUCCAAUUGCUGAGAUACCCAUUCCUCUCUGCAGCAUCUCUUCUGGGUCCCUUCCCUAUUGCCCUUUGCCCUUCUUAGCACAGAUGUUUGCAGCACUGUGGGAAAGGGGACUGGAUUGCAGGGAGAGACCAUUUGGGAGAAAGGAUCUCUGGGGCAAGAUGUGUGGGGACAUGGGUGAGCACAGGGUGAGCUCUCAUUGACUGCAGGAGUUCAGCACAACUGGAGACACUGGGAUACAGGUGGCUGGCCAGAGGUGAAGGCUCGCAGGGGAGUUACCCUUUCUGUACAUAUGAAAAGCUGUGGAUCCAGCGUAGCCCAGAGUUACAAAAAAAUGGCCUUCGGAAAAACGGCAUUUUGAAAAAUGGCCUCAUCUGUAAUUUUAAAUUUAGCCCCUGGAAAAACAGCACUUUCAAACCUGCACUGGAGAAUGAGGAUUCUGAGACAAGCAGU